rnacentral:rRNA from 1 species
ACAUGUCUUACCUAAUACCACUGCGAAAUUGAAAGAUGAAGUAUAGGGUCUGACGCCUGCCCGGUGCCGGAAGGUUAAGGAGAGAAGUGAGAGCUUUGAACUGAAGCCCCGGUAAACGGCGGCCGUAACAAUAACGGUCCUAAGGUAGCGAAAUUCCUUGUCGGGUAAGUUCCGACCUGCACGAAUGGCGUAACGACUUCCCCGCUGUCUCCAACAUAGGCUCAGCGAAAUUGAAUUCUGAGUUAAGAUGCUCAGUACCCGCGGUUAGACGGAAACGACCCCGUGUAACCUUUACUAUAGCUUUGCAGUGGUAUUAGGUAAGACAUGU